rnacentral:rRNA from 1 species
AUUGAACGCUGGCGGCAUGCCUUACACAUGCAAGUCGAACGGCAGCACGGGAGCAAUCCUGGUGGCGAGUGGCGAACGGGUGAGUAAUAUAUCGGAACGUGCCCAGUCGUGGGGGAUAACGUAGCGAAAGCUACGCUAAUACCGCAUACGAUCUAUGGAUGAAAGCUGGGGACCGCAAGGCCUGGCACCUUGGGAGGAGCCCGCGUCCUAUCAGCUAGUUGGUAGGGUAACGGCCUACCAAGGCUUUUGACGGGUAGCUGGACUGAGAGGUUGACCAGCCACACUGGGACUGAGACACUGCCCAGACUCCUACGGGAGGCUGCAGUCGAGAAUCUUUUGCAAUGGGCGAAAGCCUGACCAUGCGACGCCGCGUGGAGGAUGAAGGUCUUCGGAUCGUAAACUCCUUUCAGACCGGAAGAAGGUGCGCGUGCCCUAAUACGGUGGUGCACUUGACGGUACGGUCAGAAGAAGCCACGGCCAACUCCGUGCCAGCCGCCGCAGUAAUAC